rnacentral:rRNA from 1 species
AGCUGUUUUCUCUGAAGUUUUCGGAUGGAAGAGAGUUCAGCUUAGUGGCGAACGGGUGAGUAACACGUGAGCAACCUGCCUUUCAGUGGGGGACAACAUUUGGAAACGAAUGCUAAUACCGCAUAAGACCACAGUGUCGCAUGGCACAGGGGUCAAAGGAUUAUCCGCUGAAAGAUGGGCUCGCGUCCGAUUAGCUAGAUGGUGAGGUAACGGCCCACCAUGGCGACGAUCGGUAGCCGGACUGAGAGGUUGAACGGCCACAUUGGGACUGAGACACGGCCCAGACUCCUACGGGAGGCAGCAGUGGGGAAUAUUGCACAAUGGGGGAAACCCUGAUGCAGCGACGCCGCGUGGAGGAAGAAGGUCUUCGGAUUGUAAACUCCUGUCCCAGGGGACGAUAAUGACGGUACCCUGGGAGGAAGCACCGGCUAACUACGUGCCAGCAGCCGCGGUAAAACGUAGGGUGCAAGCGUUGUCCGGAAUUACUGGGUGUAAAGGGAGCGCAGGCGGAUUGGCAAGUUGGGAGUGAAAUCUAUGGGCUCAACCCAUAAAUUGCUUUCAAAACUGUCAGUCUUGAGUGGUGUAGAGGUAGGCGGAAUUCCCGGUGUAGCGGUGGAAUGCGUAGAUAUCGGGAGGAACACCAGUGGCGAAGGCGGCCUACUGGGCACUAACUGACGCUGAGGCUCGAAAGCAUGGGUAGCAAACAGG